GUCAGGUUAGGUUAAGUUAACCCUAACCCUGCAAACACGUAGUGACUGUUUGUGGACACUGAACACAGAGUCUCUGUCAUCAGCAGCUGUGGAGGAACCCUCUCUGAGCUCUGGGAGGCUACAUGGCUGCUAGCACCCGUUAGUCACUAUUGUGAACCACCGUUACAUCAUCGACACAGAGCUCACAAACAAAAACACUCCACCGUCUGCUUUCCUUUCAGCUGUCGCAAAACCUCAGAGAAAUGGGUUAAAUGCCUUUUUUUGUCAAAAGUGUAGGCUUUGUGUGUGUGUGUGUGUGCGUGUGUGCAUGUGUGUGUGUGUGCAUGAACGCUCAGUCCCAUUUCACUCUGUGCUCCUACACUUAACCCUCACGUGAAGGUGUCACGUGUCCUGAUUCCUUUAACUAAAUCCAAGGAAACUAAUGUUACACUGGUUAGCAUGUUAGCACUGUAGCUACUUAGCUCAGUGUUUGCAGGAGUUGUUGUGGAGGAAAUAACUACAUACAUUUGAGGUUUUACAGCCUUUAUUAAGGCAACGCUUUACUUACAGCAUGCAGGUUACAGAGCCACAGUCACAAUCAAGUCACGGCAGCCUCUCUCUCUCUCUCUCUCUCUCUCUCUCUCUCUCUCUCUCCAAAAGUUUCAGCUCACAUUAGUAUGUGACAAACUGUGUGUGUGUGUGUGUGUGUGUGUGUGAGACAUGGUGUGUUAUAUAUGGCAAAAAAGUGUCUGUUUACACGAGGACGCGUCACAUAGUGUAGGGCUACAUUUGAACCAUUACUCCAUGUAACUCAGUGUAAAUCAAGGGAAAGGACACACAGAGAAAUGGGAUUGAGCCGAUUGCUUAAAUGUGAUCUCAAUGGUGUUGGUUGAUUAUUUGUCAGACGAGCUGAUCCUUCACUCCUCAGAGCUCAGAGUUCCACUCAGCAGCUGAAUAACAAACAAACCAGAGCUGAAAGACAAAUGAACUAGUAUUCAAUUAGUAUUGAAGAGAAGUGAAAGCGUGAAAUGCUCGGCCUUCCAAAGCCAGACUUUCUUUUUUUCCAUUGUUUUGAUGUUAUUUUUUUUUCUUGGCCAAACAUGGAUAAAAGCAGCUUUAAAUGUU